rnacentral:lncRNA from 1 species
GCCGUCUCACCUGCCCCCACCCACGGCGCCGUCGGAUCCCAGAGCGGCUGGUGCAAGCUUAAAGUGUUGCUGCCAGACCUUUCUUCUCUUCUAAUUUACCAAGUGAAGAAUGUUGAAAUAUCCAACUAUAAUUUGUGGAUUUCUCCUUUCAAUGCUAUCAUUUUUGGUGCUUCAUGUAUUUUUGAAGCUCUAUUAUUAGCACUUGAAAAUAUUGGCUAUUUCCUUCUGACCCCCAUGGUUUCUUUUAAAAAAUUUGCUGUUGUUUGAAUUAUUUUUCUCUACAGGUAUUGACUGCUGCCUCAUGAAGGCUGGUCCUGUCUCUAUAGUGAAUAUUGUGCACCUCAGGGUAGAAUGGAGAGCAGAAGACUUCAAAUCAGGCAGUCUGGGUUCAGACCCCAAUUCUAGUGCUAAAUAGCUACGUGACUUUAGGCCGAUUGUGUGUGACUUCCCUGAGCCCCAGUCUCUUUGCCUGCAAAAUGAGAAAAAUUAUAACAAUGUCAUCGGUUGUUCUGAGGAUUCUGAGAGGAAUUAGUAGGAGAGAGAACUAAGAAGCUGCGGGCCUCUACAGAGCCAUUCAACUGGCAUUUCGGAAGAUGUUGCCCAUCAGAGUCAGACCUUCUUAGCAUCUUCCGGCUGGGCCCAAACUUCCCAAGACCAUUUGGACAAGGUCAUCUCUAUCCCACCAUGGCCUCCUCCCAGAGGAGGAGAAGAAUCAUGCUGUUACAGCAGAACCGAAGAUUUGGGCAAGGGAGCUAAUGAUUAUGUUCUGCGUCAGGUCAGAGAUGGGCUGGGAAAGCCACUCCAAAGCCAAGACAAGCAGUUUCCUGGAAAAAGAAGGCUGCGCGGAGCCCAGAGUGGCCUGGAUCCUGCCUCAUUUCCUGGACCAGCUCCUUAGGUGGUUACUGGAUUGCCAAUAAAGCAGAGCUUAUUAAAGUCAACGAGCUCAGGCUUCAUCGCCGCCAUGGUAUCCAAGCACCAGUCUGUCUGGGAUUUCAUUUGCCAGAUGGACAAAGGAGAGGUUGUUCCAAUACAUAUCCUGAGUGGUGGGGGUGGGGAGAGAAGGGGAAGAAUGCUCUCUAGAGAAUUCUCUUUGUCCUCUGAAGUAAAUAGAGAUCAUGUCUUCCCCAGCCACACUCAGUGAUCUGAAUCUCUUGGACUGUGGAUUUUUCCUUUACCUGCUGUGAAGCCUUGAAAAGUAUGAAUUAGCUUGAUAAUGAUCCUCUAAAGAUGUUCAAGAGUUAAAGACGUGUUUAAGUUCUUCAGGCAAUCCAAUAUGACUACGGGUUUCCAAAAAUUUGAAGGAAACUGAAAAUCAUAGUUCCCAAACCAGAUAUUUUCCGGUGUCCAGAUGUUCACUGGCAUGCAAACCAAAUGUCUGGAUUAUGAGCUCCUUUUUUCAUUUCUUUUUAUCAGCUUACAUCCAGAUGUUGGAUCCAACUGGUCAGAGGCCUGGGGCAGAGACAGAAAUCAAAUCUAGGGUGUUCAUCUAGAGUCUCCUGCUCCUCCAUUCCUGCUUCCUCCUCACGCUGCCCCCACAUCCUCCCCAACUCACCUUCAUGCUACAUCUCGGCAAAUACAGCUCAUAUCCAGGCACGGUGCAGCCCUUGACAGCUGGGUCCGCAAAGGCAGAUCGGGUAUAUCUUUAAAGAAAAGUUAUCUUAACCAUUGAGAAGCCUUCCUUCCUCAGAGGAGAGCACCUCCCCAGCAGACCUCCGAGGAGACCAAGGGCAGGACAGGAAGGGUGAAAGGAAGUUUCAGGACUGCAGGAAAUAAGAGCUUGGAGGUCAAGGGAGAGAUCAGAUAAAACAUGAAUCUGAUCAGCAUCCUAGUGGUCUAGAGUGGAGACAAUCUGCGGAGUCAACCUCAGUAAGGACACACAUAGAGAAGAACCAAAGCCUCUAAAGACGAAGCUGAGAAGUGUACGGUCGUAGAAGACUCGUGUCUGUUAUUCUUAAAAGCUCAAGGAGAUGUUCUGCCAAUUGAAUGGAAACUGUCCAUAGUGGGGAGCAGAGAGCCUCAUCUUUUCUGGAACUGAACAUCCAUCCUUAAGGCCAGAUUUCUCCCAUCACCAACUUUAACUCCUGCCCUAGCCCUCUCUCUUCCUUUUCAAAACCCUCUCCACCCAGGAAGGGAGAUUCUGGAGCCAAGACUGUACCAGCCACACCUCCCCAGAGUUGUUAAGGAAGGAACUCGAAGCCAGGGGUGGUCUUCUGGCAAGCACCCCCACUACCAGUAGCAGGACAGAUGUGUUUCUAAUGGACUACACUAUCCCCGGAGGUCACAUGAUUCAGGCUGCCAAGGGUACCUGCCCUUGGGAAAUCAACUCCCGAAGAUAAAUUGGGAUUGGGUCCUGAGAAGAUCCAUGGAAGCCCAGAGGACCCUGCCUCUCUCUGUUGCUUCAUGCUGUAGAGGCAGUACUGGGGAGGGCCUGCCCCACAUCCGGCAGGGCAGCUGGAACCAUGUGUUUGAUGACACUCUGCUCCCUCAAUGUGGAGCCUCAUCCUCAUCUCACAGUCUAGCAGGCCUCUGGUGGGUUAGGCUUGUCUCACCCAGUGUGUGAGUUUUUUUGGAAGUGACCUGAUUUUGGAGUUUCCCUCCAAGCCUUUCUCAGGUACAUGCUUUCUCUUUUAUUCUGUCUUCUUUUUUUGAUCUUCUUAAAUCUGAUUUUCUCCUUUUUCCCUCUCUUGUCUCCAUCUUUUUUCCAGUCUCUCGCUUCUCUUUAUUUCUCCCCAUAUUUCACUCUGUUCUCUCACCCCAACCUUUCCCUUCUGUUUCUCUCCCUCCCUCUCUUCCCACCCCCUGCCUGGCCUUCCAUAUAUCAAGCAGAGUUUUAUCACCUUAUGCAGGGGCAGCCCUGCCACCUGCCAUAAAGUUGAUAGGCUAAUGACAUUUUGUGGAUAUUGCCAUGUCACAAGUCCAGGACAGCAUCAAAAAUAGCCCUGAUGUCUAAACCACUUCAGCUAUCUUUUUUAUUUUUAAAAUAAAUACAUUCACAUGCUUUUAAGAAACUAUAAAAAUAUAUAAAGUAAAAAGAUCUUUCUCUCACACUGUCUCCACCUCUCCUGGUCUCACCGUUGUGCUUAGGGGAAACCAUUGUGAUUAGUUUCUCCUGUGUCCUUCCAGAGUGUCUUUAUGCAAAUGAAAAUUAUUGUGAUAAUAUAUUCCUAUUUUCCCCCUUACUACACAAAAGAUAGACUACCAUAAUCCCAUUCUGCACUUUUUUUUCACUUGAUAAUAAAAACAUGAUUUUAUUAA